UAUGUGAUCGUCUCUCGCAUAUCAAUAAGCGGAGGAAAAGAAACUAACAAGGAUUCCCCUAGUAACGGCGAGUGAAGCGGGAAGAGCUCAGAUUUGAAAUCUUAAAGGGUUUCCCUUUACGAAUUGUAGUUUAAAGAAGUGUUUUCUGUUGAGGUUUUGGUAAAAGUUCUUUGGAAUAGGACAUCAUAGAGGGUGAGAAUCCCGUAUUUGACCUUUACUUUCAACUUUGUGAUACACUUUCAAAGAGUCGGAUUGUUUGGGAAUGCAGUCCAAAAUGGGUGGUAAAUUUCAUCUAAAGCUAAAUAUUGGCGAGAGACCGAUAGCGAACAAGUACCGUGAGGGAAAGAUGAAAAGAACUUUGAAAAGAGAGUUAAACAGUACGUGAAAUUGUCAAAAGGGAAGCGUUUGACACCAGUGUUGUUUUUCUGAAAAUCAAUUAAAGAACUGUUUAUGCUAAGUUGUUUAGACUUUAUCAGCUAUCUGCUUAGUUUUGAGCUUUUCUUUAAUGCACUUUUCAGUUAACAAGUCAACAUCAAUUUCUUUUGCUGUAAAAAAGCUUGAGGAAGGUGGCUUGAGAUUCGUCUUAAGUGUUUAUAGCCUCUUGCCUAUGCAGUCGGAGAGAUUGAGGUCUGCAGCGUAGAUCCUUCGGGGCUAAAUGCAUUUGUGCUAAGUUAUAGCAUUUUAUAGACAACUUGUUGACUAUGAUUUGUCUUGUAGCUUACUCGCUUAUGUUAUUUUACCUACGCUUAGGAUGUUGACUGAUAUGUAGUCGUA
rnacentral:rRNA from 1 species